rnacentral:misc_RNA from 1 species
AAGACUAUAGACCUGCGGAGUACCUGCGGAAGGAUCAUUAUCGUAUUGUAACAAUCGGGGGGGCCACCGUGGGCUGUCGCUGACCCUUUGAAAGGGGGGUCGUGCACGCCCCCAUAGUGUCAUCCUCAUACAAUCCAACUCACCUCUGUGCAUCACCGCGUGGGUUCCUUUCUGGGUCGAGUCAGACUGGCUCAGAAAAAAGGGGCUUGCGUUUUCCAUACAAAUACCCUUAUAAAUCCA